rnacentral:rRNA from 1 species
UACGGAGGGUGCAAGCGUUAUCCGGAUUCACUGGGUUUAAAGGGUGCGUAGGAGGGUAGGUAAGUCAGUGGUGAAAUCUUCGAGCUUAACUCGGAAACUGCCGUUGAUACUAUCUAUCUUGAAUACCGUGGAGGUGAGCGGAAUAUGUCAUGUAGCGGUGAAAUGCUUAGAUAUGACAUAGAACACCAAUUGCGAAGGCAGCUCGCUACACGAAUAUUGACUCUGGGCACGAAAGCGUGGGGAUCAAACAGG